GGGGAGCUGGACUGGCUAGGCUAGGGGAGCAGCAGGGGAGAUGGACUGGCUAGGCUGGAGAGGUGAACUGGCUAAGUUGGGGAGCAGCAGGGGGAGCUGGACUGGCUAGGCUAGGGGAGCAGCAGGGGAGAUGGACUGGCUAGGCUGGAGAGGUGAACUGGCUAAGUUGGGGGAGCACCAGGGGGAGGUGGACUGGCUAGGCUGGAGAGGUGAACUGGCUAAGUUGGGGAGCAGCAGGGGAGGUGGACUGGCUAGGUUGGGGGAGCAGCAGUGGGAGAAGGACUGGCUAGACUGGGGGAGCAGCAGGGGGGGGUGUACUGGCUAGGCUGGGGGAGCAGCAGGGGGGGGGUGGACUGGCUAGGCUGGGGGAGCAGCAGGGGGAGGUGGACCAGGCUGGGUAGAUGGACCUGGCU
ensembl:lncRNA